UUGUAGUCCAUUCUUCAUUAGGAAUUCAGUCUAAAAUUUAAAGAAGUGAGUUCAACUUUAGGGAAUAAAGUGAAGGAAAAGCCUUCAACUCCAAAAUGAAGGCAUUGUCCUGCAGUAUAUGCUUCCUCUAGGAUGGCAUAAAUAACAAGCGUCAAGGCUAUGAUUCUGUGACUUGAGGUGCAGUUGCAUUACAGGGUAAAACCUCCAUUGGCAUGCAGCCACACUGAGAUUUGAUAUCUAUGUUGUGCAUUCUUAUAGUGUGCUGUUCCAUGCCAAAGGAGAUUUGCCCGGCAAUACUUCUGCAGUUUGGUUGGCUUGUCAGAGUGGAAAUGUCGUCUUCAGUUGCUCUUUAUGGUGCUAUCACUUAUGUUUAUGAAAACUGGGAUUGAUUUCACUGCAUGAUUCUGUCAAUACAGUUUUUCCUUUCUGUCUAAGAUUGGCAAAUAUUUCUUAUAAUGUUGCAUGCACAACGUUUUAGUUUGGUAUAUCUGCAUCUUCUAAGAAAAUUAUAUAUGCAGAAGCAUCUAUGAAAAUGCAUAACUACAGAUAACACUGCAAGCACUUAUCACAAUCAAAUUACACACUGUGACAAUUUUUUGCAUCUAUGCUAUGCAAUAACUUCACCCGAUUCAAGAUGUGAAUGGUAAUUAACCUUUCUAGAAUCCCCAAAACUUUUUUUUGUCUCUGUUCGUCUAUAUUUUUUUAAAAUUAUUAGCAUUAAAUUGUUUGUUUUUACCUAGCCUUGAAUGAGCAACUGAAAACAUUUAUGCUGCUGUUCUCCAUAUUUUUUUCUUGCAGAAGUAGGAAAGGUAUAUGUCCGCAAGCUCUCUGUUUUGCAAGGGAUGGGGAAGAUCAUUGCACGCAAGAAAUUAUUCUAUGCCAUGUAACCUCUGGCAAUUUGCAUUAGCUACGUGUUGAUAGACUUGGUGAAAGCAAGAAAUUCAGUCUGCAAUUUUUCAUUGAUUCCGAAGGUCGCUUAACUAAAUGCAAUUUUAUGAUAUGCAUCCAAAUAUCUCCCCGUAGUUAACUAAAUCCCAAUAAUGCCCAUUGAAUGAAUACUGUGUAGUCAUUAAAUUGAG
rnacentral:misc_RNA from 1 species